rnacentral:rRNA from 1 species
UACGUAGGGUGCGAGCGUUGCCCGGAUUUAUUGGGCGUAAAGGGCGCGUAGGCGGCUCGGCACGUCCGUUGUGAAAUCGCCCGGCUCAACUGGGCGGGGUCAGCGGAUACGGUCGAGCUCGAGCAAGCUAGGGGGCAAUGGAAUUCCCGGUGUAGUGGUGGAAUGCGUAGAUAUCGGGAAGAACAUCAGUGGCGAAGGCGGCCUGCUGGGCUGUUGCUGACGCUGAGGCGCGACAGCGUGGGGAGCAAACAGG